AUUGAACGCUGGCGGCAGGCCUAACACAUGCAAGUCGAGCGGAGCGGCUGACGGGUUAGUAAUGCCUAGGAAUCUGCCUGGUAGUGGGGGAUAACGUCCGUAAACCGGCGCUAAUACCGCAUCCUAUCAGAUUAGCCUAGGUCGGAUUAGCUAGUUGGUGGGGUAAAGGCCUACCAAGGCGACGAUACGUAACUGGUCUGAGAGGAUGAUCAGUCACACUGGAACUGAGACACGGGCCAGACUCCGACGGGAGGCAGCAGUGGGGAAUAUUGGAAAAUGGGCGAAAGCCUGAUCCAGCCAUGCCGCGUGUGUGAAGAAGGUCGUCGGAUUGUAAAGCACUUUAAGUUGGGAGGCGUUACCAACAGAAUAAGCACCGGCUAACUUCGUGCCAGCAGCCGCGGUAAUUC
rnacentral:rRNA from 1 species